CCGGGGAUUAGUGGCGAACGGGUGAGUAACACGUGGGCAAUCUGCCCUGCACUCUGGGACAAGCCCUGGAAACGGGGUCUAAUACCGGAUAUGACCGUCUUGGGCAUCCUUGACGGUGUAAAGCUCCGGCGGUGCAGGAUGAGCCCGCGGCCUAUCAGCUUGUUGGUGAGGUAGUGGCUCACCAAGGCGACGACGGGUAGCCGGCCUGAGAGGGCGACCGGCCACACUGGGACUGAGACACGGCCCAGACUCCUACGGGAGGCAGCAGUGGGGAAUAUUGCACAAUGGGCGGAAGCCUGAUGCAGCGACGCCGCGUGAGGGACGACGGCCUUCGGGUUGUAAACCUCUUUCAGCAGGGAAGAAGCGCAAGUGACGGUACCUGCAGAAGAAGCGCCGGCUAACUACGUGCCAGCAGCCGCGGUAAUACGUAGGGCGCAAGCGUUGUCCGGAAUUAUUGGGCGUAAAGAGCUCGUAGGCGGCUUGUCGCGUCGGUUGUGAAAGCCCGGGGCUUAACCCCGGGUCUGCAGUCGAUACGGGCAGGCUAGAGUUCGGUAGGGGAGAUCGGAAUUCCUGGUGUAGCGGUGAAAUGCGCAGAUAUCAGGAGGAACACCGGUGGCGAAGGCGGAUCUCUGGGCCGAUACUGACGCUGAGGAGCGAAAGCGUGGGGAGCGAACAGGAUUAGAUACCCUGGUAGUCCACGCCGUAAACGGUGGGCACUAGGUGUGGGCAACAUUCCACGUUGUCCGUGCCGCAGCUAACGCAUUAAGUGCCCCGCCUGGGGAGUACGGCCGCAAGGCUAAA
rnacentral:rRNA from 1 species